AGCACACAGCUCCAGAUGGCUUCCUGCACUUCUAGGCUCCUCUGCUGGGCGCUAAUGGCAAGGAAGCGGCAGAGCUCUCCUGGCCCAGCUCCCCACCGGACAGCCCAUUUGCACAGGCUGCUUUCUCCCCAGAGAACAUAUGCUCUGCACUCUGAAGGUGAGAUCCAAGAAUCACACCGCCCUGUGGACCAGGAAGAUGGGGAAGGGAACUUGUAGAGCCCCCCAAUCCUGUGUGGGAACGCUUAUCAUCUACCUCCGAAGCUUGCAGAGUUAGGGCUACCAGAUGAAACAAAGAAUACCAUGGCAGCUCAGAAUUUCAGACAAAUUUGUUUGUUUGUUUUUGUCUUUGUUUUUAUUAUAAGUAUGUCACAAAUACUGCAUUAAAAUCUAGUUGAAUGUCCUGUAA
rnacentral:lncRNA from 1 species